rnacentral:tRNA from 1 species
UGUCCGAUGGUGUAAUGGUAACACAGCUGGUUUUGGUCCAGCCGUUCAAGGUUCGAAUCCUUGUCGGACAA